rnacentral:rRNA from 1 species
CAGCAGCCACGGUAAUACGUAGGUGGCGAGCGUUAAUCGGAAUUACUGGGCGUAAAGCGUGCGCAGGCGGUUUUGUAAGACAGGCGUGAAAUCCCCGGGCUCAACCUGGGAAUGGCGCUUGUGACUGCAAAGCUAGAGUGCGGCAGAGGGGGAUGGAAUUCCGCGUGUAGCAAUGAAAUGCGUAGAUAUGCGGAGGAACACCGAUGGCGAAGGCAAUCCCCUGGGCCUGCACUGACGCUCAUGCACGAAAGCGUGGGGAGCAAACAGGAUUAGAUACCCGCGUAGUCCCUGUCUCUUAUAC